ensembl:lncRNA
UCAGACAAGGAGCAAUCACUCAUGGAACGAACAUACAUGGGUACACAUACCUUAUUUCCACGGUAUUCUAUAUUCGUGGGACCCUGAAGACUGCUACCACACAUCAUUUUGUUUCUCUCUAUUAGGAGCACAUUGCAGAAUGCCUAUAUUCCCCAACAUAUGUUCAGGGGCCAUGGAGGGUACGCAACCUCAUUGUUAUAGAUGUCCCUUGCUUCUUCACACAGCAGGUUUCACUUUUAGUUUUGGGGACUGCAAAGCUAAGAUGCUGAUCACAAACAACCACAUGGCUGCUUCACUAUCUAAUAAGGUGGCUUUGAUGUUCUGAUUGAAGACUGUUUGAGCCUGCUGGUGCUGCAAGGAGAGCAGGAGAAGUAAAGGUCUUUGCUCCUCUCAUCUCGGGUCCUCCUGUCAGCAGCCUUUCUACCAUCCAAAGCUGGAGCCAGCAUCCUCGAAUGAGUGCUGUUGCCACUGCUUCAUUUCAUUCUAGGAUGAAACAGAAUGGCAGAGGAAUUUUCUCCUGCUGAUAAUCCUCUUUGUGAAACAGUGCUAUGCCAAGUGCUCAGGACGCUGUUUCUUCAUCAAAGUCCAGGGAUGGAUUAGCCCACUGUCAUAUAAUCUGUGGCGCUGCAUGGUUUCCUCUUCACUGGACCACUGAG